rnacentral:rRNA from 1 species
CCAGCAGCUGCGGUAAUUCCAGCUCUAAUAGCGUAUAUUAACGUUGUUGCAGUUAAAAAGCUCGUAGUUGGAUUUCUGGAGGGAGCGUCGGCCCGUAUUUACGAGUGCGUGACGUCUCUGUCCAUCCUUGCGGGAAGGCACGGCAUUGAUUUGUUGUGUCGGAUCGCAUCAUUUACUGUGAAAAAAUUAGAGUGUUCAAAGCAGGCUUUCGCUUGAAUACAUUAGCAUGGAAUAAUAAGAUAGGACUUUGGUGCUAUUUUGUUGGUUGAGCCUAAAGUAAUGAUUAAUAGGGAUAGUUGGGGGCACCUGUAUUGCGUUGUCAGAGGUGAAAUUCUUGGAUUUACGCAAGACAAACAGCUGCGAAAGCGUCCGCCAAGGAUGUUUUCAUCAAUCAAGAACGAAAGU